GUAUCUAAGCAACACCAAAAGAGUAGUUAUAGAUAAACACAGCAUGGUCAAUAACUCAAAAAGAACAAAUUAGGAAUCUCCCCUUGGUGUAGGGAUGGAAAUUAUCUGGUUCCACCCCUGGAUAUGAUCAACCUUCAUAGACUGUGCAUUAUACAUGCCAUCUCUGCGACCUGCAAAGAUGAAAAGGGAAAGCAGGAGAUGGAAACUGGUCAGCAGCCUUCUGGUUUAUCAGCCACACUUACAAAGGUCAAAUGUGCAAAGCGUCAGAAGACAGUGGUUAGAGUGAGAUUCUACAUGCUCUCAAUGAAGAAUAAAGCAUGCAGGAAGAACCUUUCAAAAGGUUACAACCAGAGACCUGAAGGAAGCAAGGAAGAAAGCCACAUGGUUGUCAAAGAGAAGAGGAAAGGAGAUCACUAAGCUGGAUGACGUUUUCUGUUUCUUUGAAAACAGAGAAGAUGACAAGUUAGGGAGAGAUCAGAGGUCAUACUGUGAAGCACCUUUGGAUAAACGGCAGGGACUUUGGAUUUUCUUUUUGAAUAUAAGCAUAAUCCAUUGAAAGGUCUCAUGCAGGGAAGUGGCAAAACACUUUUAAAAUUUUUCAUCUUUUCUUUCUGAAGCAGAGUUCACUCUCCAUUUAUUUGUCUUCUUUGAUAUCUCUCAAUAGAAUGUUGCAGUUUUAGUAUUCUCCUAUUAAACAUUUGUUUAACUUUCUUGUUCUUCUAAAUAAUAAUUUAUUCUCCUUAUUUUCAUCAUUAGUGUCCCUGAAAUGCCAGAGUUUCAGACUAGGUCUACUACUCACCACACAAAAAGCCAAUCACUGAGACACAAGUAUUGACAAGUAAGAAGGCUUUAAUCAGGUGCUGCAGCCUAGUUGAUGAGAGAUUAGUCUCAAAUCCACCUCCCUGAUGGACUAAAAUCAGGGGAUUAUGUAGUAGAGAAGAAAUGUAACUACAUGUGAGGAAAUAGGAAUCAGGGAGGGAUAAGCAAGAGGAGUUGGUCAGAAAGACACGGGUGGUCAGUUAGGCCACCAUGAUGGGUGAG
rnacentral:lncRNA from 10 species